rnacentral:lncRNA from 1 species
AAAAAAAAAUUAUAUUCCUUUAUCAGUCAUCUUACACUCACUCUAAAUCUUCCAGUUUCAUUUCUCUCUUUUGUAUCCCCAGGAUGGCACUUUUUUCCUAGUCAUGGUAACUGCUUUGUCUUAACUGUGAUUUGCUUACUUCUGCCUCCACAAUAAACACACAACAUUACAUUCAAACCGGGGUGCCUCACCUAGACUUUCCCAAUCCCUAGUUCUCACCUCUUGCAAAACGCUACUCGAAAUGCAGCUCAGGGGAAGCCCAGGACACACUAGCCCUCCAUCUGUCAGCACGUAAGGACAGAGAUACCCAGGUAAUGAAAGAGCAAAGGAGGAGUUGAGCCAUGAACAAAUAGAACAAGCUCUCACUAGAGGAAAUGGAAACAGUGAUGGGGAGGAAGAGAACAAUUUGAGAAGGUAGAGCCUGGAGAGAUUCAAGAGAACAUUAUAUCCAUAAAUUGAAAGCAAGUUGCCAUUGAAAGAAAGAACGGGAAAAGUAGAAUUCUUUUUUUUUUUUUUUUCUUGGCCAUACCUGCAGUAUAUGGAAGUACCUGGGCUAGGGAUUGAAUCCGAGCUGCAGAUGUGACCUAUGCCAGAGCUGCAGCAAUGCUGGAUCCUUAAGUCACUGCACUGGGCUGAGGAUCUAACGGUGCCUGUACAGAGACAAGCCAGAUCAUUAGCCCACUGCACCACAGAGGGAACUCAGGAAAACUAGAAUUCUUGAAAUUGAAAUCUUUUUUUUUUUUUUUUUUUGGUCUUUUUGUCUUUUUAGGGCCAUACCUGUGGCAUAUGGAGGUUCCCAGGCUAGGGGUCAAAUUGGAGCUGUAGUUGCUGGCCUACACCACAGCCAUAGCAUCCAAGCCGCGUCUGUGACCUACACCACAGCUCAAGGCAAUGCUGGAUCCUCAACCCACUGAGCAAGGCCAGGGAUUGAACCCGAGUCCUCGUGAAUCCUAGUCAGGUUUGCUAACCACUGAGCCACAAUGGGAACUCCCGAAUUUUUUUUUUUUUUUUUGGCAGCGCCUACAGCAUGGGGAAGUUCUCAGGCCGGAGAACAGACCCAUGCCACAGUGGUAACGAUGCUGGAUCCUUAACUGCUAAGCCACCAGAGAAUUCCUGAAAUUGGAGUCUUUGCAAAAUGAUUACCAAAGUUAUUUUCAAAAUUACACAAAAGUCUAAAAAAUAGAACAGAUGCAGCCAAGGACUGAAUUAGAAAUCUGGAAGAUAAAGUUGAAAAAAAGAAAUCUGAAAAUGGGAGAAAAUUAGAAAUCAUCUUCCCUCUAAAGUCAAAAGAGAAGGAAAAAGACUGGGAAAAGAUCUAAGCAGUCCACCCUCCACUUCCUCCAGUAGGAUUCUCAGAAGAUGGAAAGAGAGCAAAGAGAGAGGUUGUGACCCUUCUCAAAACAGACAAGUGCCUGGAUCUUCAGACUGAAGGAGCCCAGACAGAUACAUAUUGGUGACAUUUUUGCCCUGCAAGGAUAAAAAGAAUAUCCUUAAGGUUUACACAGAGAAAACAUCAAGAUUGCCUGGCCAAAGUCACACUGGAUCAGAAGACUCCAACCAGCAACACUGGACAAUGAAAGAAAGGGGAGUGUCAAGUCCUGGAUUCCGAGGAAAGUGAUUUGAACAUAUAAAUACAUACCGGCUAGGCUAUGUGUAAAAAUAUCUCCAGGCGCAGGCAAGGACUCUGAAAGAUUGUCUUCUCUAUGCUUUUUCUAGAAGAGUUGCUCAGCGCUGUACAGAGCCAAGCAGAAAAGGAACCCAAGAAAGAGAAAAACAGGCACUCCAAGAAACCUAUCUAAGACGACAAUGUCAAGACAUCCUAGAUCCAUGACACUUGCUCCUCACACCUGAACGGCAGCAAGUCCAAGUUAGAACAGGAAGUCAGAGGGCUCCAUGGAAACAGUCUUCAGGAAGAAUGUGGGUAACAGCACAACAGUCUUGUGAUUGGUGCAUGAUUUUCCUAAUUUUUCUACCAAUAUAAAUCAGGAUCUAGAAGUGUCACAACAGCCUGCUAUCCAUGAGAUGGUGACAUAAGCCUUUUUAUGUUUCCCCCUAACAAGAAAAAGAAUGGCCACUAGAUAUUCUGGGAAAUAAGGGAAACACUCUCAUGGUCUGAAAACAAAGCAAGUCAGAUGGUGGUAUGUGAGAAAUCGUGAUGGAUCCUCUGAAUUAAUUAUAAUCUGUUUGAACUUGUAAUGGAUACUCAGUAUAAGAAUUUUCCUGUGCUGAGUAUGAGUUUUUUUAAUUUGUAAAAGAGGUUUGCCAUUUUUAUAGCAUACUUUUUUUUUUUUUUUUUUGGUUUUUUUUUUUUUUUUUUUUUGGUCUUUUGUCUUUUUGUUGUUGUUGUUGUUGUUGCUAUUUCUUGGGCCGCUCCCUGAGGCCCUAAAAAAAGACCAAAAAAAAAAAAGGUAUAUGCUUAAAAACAUGCCAUUAACACUAAUGUCAGUGCCUCAUAUUUUCAUAAUCUUUUUGAAGAAUUUCUUAGUAACCAAUAGGUCUUGUUUUGAAGAAAUAUAUAGAUAUACAAAUUCCAGCCACUCCUCUAGUUUCACUUCAGCUUUUUUCUGAUGAAUCCAAGUAAAAUUAUCUGAGUUUUUUUUUUAGAAAUUUUAUUUUUUAUUGAAGUAUAAUUAACAUACAACAUUCCUUUAGUAUCAGGUGUACAAUGUAAUGAUUCAACAUUAAAUAAAUAUUUAUAGCAGUUACCUCUGAAUAACUGUGGGAUUAGGAUGAUGUGUGUAUGAUUUUCCUAAUUUUUCUACCAAUAAUAUGUAUUGCUUUUAUAAUAAGAAAAUAAACCCCGUUAACAUUUAAGAAGAAAAAAAGAUUUCUAUUAAAACUUCCUGAAUAGGAAGUCCUUCUUGAGGCCCCACUUCCUGCUAAUCAUUGCUGUCGCCCUUGCAAACUCAUUUUUUAAAGGAGUGCAUCUAUUUACUGAUACGGGGUAUAGCUUUGCAUGUUGAAUGCUUCUGCCUAGAGUGUUUUAGUUUCUCAAGGACCAGGCCUGAGCAUCUGAACACUGUUCCUGUUCCCCUGGCCUGGCUCACCCCACCUCGGGCUGCCCCCACUAGAUCCUGGAGGGCCUCUGGCUGUGCCUCCCACGCUCAGCAAACUCUCACAGGCACCCCACAUGGGGUGAGAGAGAGACAGCAGGUCCAGGCUGGGGUAAGCAUGGGGUUGGCAACUCACGCUGCAAGAGCUUCAAGUUCUCUCCACCAAUCAUUAGACUUUCAGAGUUGAAAGUAUAAAUCAGAAGCCCAAGUGCUUACAUAUGUGUCACAUCAGCUCAGUAAACAAGAUAGUCUGAGGAACAGACUCAGCUCAGGGACUCUUCCCAUACGUCAGUAGUUGUGGGGACAAAGCAUUUUUGGAGACAUGAAUCAGCUCACUUAUUUGUAGAGAUUUGGGGAACUGUCACAAGGGCCUGAAAGCAUAAUGAACACAGGAAACUCACAUGUUGGUAUUACCAUGAAAAAGCCUUUCAUGAAAAGGAGAGAGAAUAGCAAGAAAUUUGUUUCUUCCCCUGAAACCAUAGACUGUUCUGGCUGCGGUGCUUUCCUGCAGGUGAGGAAGGCCUCUAGGAGAGAGAGAGUAGAAAGAGGAAAGGAGAAAAUGGAGAGAAGAGCAGGAGCCUGCGAGGAGGAAGAAAUCCCGAGAGCCUUGGGUGCUUCAUACUAGACCGUGAGUCAUAGUGAUGCAUAGAUCUGUGAGUCACUUUCCUUUCUUGGCCCUCAGAUCUUGGUGUUAGCUUGAUUUUCCUCUCUAUGUUCUGCUUGUAGCAUCUAUACUUCGAAGAGGGCAAGGCCAUUUUUAGCAUCUUCAUAGCCCCUGGCAUGUUGCCUGUGAGAAGGCCAACCCAUUAGAAGGCAUCUACAGGCCCAGUUCAUAAUAAUCUUCUGCUAAAUAUUUUUGACAGGAUAUUCUAUGCACAAUAUGGAAUUGCCAUUUUUAAAGACCAACUGUCACAUAUUCACAAUUUCAUACUUUCAAACUAAUAAUUUUGCCUUUGAAAUUAUUUGGCUGUAUGUGCUGCAUUUAAUUUAUCAUUGGCUAUGAUUUCUCUGCCCCUACUACACAUAGGCUGGGAAUUUACACAAAAUGAGAACUUUUAACCUACUGAUUAUUAUUAGUUCAUGGAUACCAAAGGGAAUAAUUAAUGGUGUCGAUUUAAUGUGGCAUCUGUAAACCAUCCGCUAAACGGCUGUUAACUCAAACCUCCUCAUUGUCAUCUUUAUUUUGGAGCUGUGGCAGCCUGGCUCCUGGUGGCUGGCUCUGGUGGGUGAUUGGUGUGCAGGAGGUUUAUUAGCAGAGCUACUGGUUGGCACCUUUUGGGGAAGGGUAAGAACCCCACUGGACAGAGGGAUGGACAGAGGCUGCAGAGUUCUCAGCUACCCCAUAGAGAGUUUGGGGCAAGGUUGGCCUGCAUGUUGCCAGUUUAGGGCAUCAGUCACUGGAUGCAGUCUGCCUUGGGAAGGGGCAGUCUGGAGAGGGCCAGCUGCUGAGGGCUGUUAGCUAGCGUUCCCUGCCAUGCUCAGUGGGGGUCUGGGUAGCAAAGCAUAGCAUCUAUGGCAGUGCCAAUUUAAUGAAGGUCUAGUGGCACCUUAGCCCUGGGCCUGGGGGACAGAGGGGUCGAUGGCCUGUGUGAGGAGCUAAUGGGGCUUGAGGUUCUUUUUUUUUUUUAGCUUUUUAGGGCCACACCCACAGCAUAUGGAAGUUCCCAGGCUAGGGGUCAAAUAGGAGCUGUAGCCACUGGCCUAUACCACAGCAACACAGGAUCCAAGCCAAGUCUGUGACCUAUACCACAGCUCAUGGCAAUGCUGGAUCCUUAGCUUACUGAGCAAGGCCAGGGAUGGAACCCUCAUCCUCAUGGAUACUGGUUGGAUUUGUUUCCACUGAGCCACCAUGGGAACUCCUGAGGCAUUUUUUUUUUUUUUUUUUUAAGGGCCAUACCCAUGGCAGUUCCCAGGCUAGGGGUUGAAUUGAGGACUCUGGGGCUUGAAGCUUUUGAAUAGACUUUUAAAAGGAUUUUAGGGAGAGAAAGCCCUUUAAAUAGACUUAAGAGGGGAGCGAAGGGUAUUGGGUGAGACUUGUCAGCAAGAUGUCAAAGUGGAGAGGGCUCUGGACUGGGUCAGGAGUCCUGCCUGAUUAGAGCCUCAGUGGUCUCACUUGUGAAUCAAGGGAGGCAAACCUGAUGACACCACAGCCCCCCCUGCCCCCGGUCCUUCCAGCCCUCGCCUUGGGUGGUGCUCUCUCACCCCAGUGACCCCAAAGUAGAGCAGAUCGGAGUCACUAACUGAUUCAGAUUUGAAUUCAGCGGUGUGUGAAUUUUCUCCUGGGUUCUUGCUCAGACUUCUGGGGGUUGGUGGAGCAGAGACGAAGAUAAGAUCCAAGCCAGGCCAUUUUAUAAAGCAUCAAUUUUAUUCCCCCCCCCCCCAGCUCACAACUCUCAACGGCACAUCUGUGACCAGGACACUAUUUCAUUCCUGGGUGGCAGACUGCAGGUCACAGAAGGGGGAAAAAAAAAAAAAAAAAGAAAGGAAAGCAAGCCAGAAGCCAAGGAUUAGAAAACCAGUGACUUAACCCCAUGCCCCCUGUUUCACUAGGGCAGCACAUGUACCAAUACUGAACAAUAGAGAGAAGGUUAGGAUGGACCAUGUGCAAGGAUGAGACACAAACUUGUGAAGCAUCCCAUAUUUUUUUCAGGGGUGAUGAAAAAGAUCUCGAGAUAGUACAGCAGUGUAAAUGCACUUAAAGUGGUUAAAUGGUAAGUUUUAGUUUAGGAAUAUUUUGCCACAGUUUAUUAAACAAACGAACCUGGCCCUAAGGGAUGGAGGAUUGGAUAAAGAUGUCAUGAAGUAAAAGUUACGAAAUUACAUUGAUGAAAUUAAUUACAGGCAAAAGAAAAACCUCAGAACCCCAGUGCAGGCUGUGAUGUACACACUCUGUGGUCUAAAUACAGAGUAGUGGGAAAAGCCAACUUGAGUAUCACCUGGGUUCCAAGCCUACCUCUGUCACUGCCUAGCUGUAUGACCUUGGACAAGGCACCUAACCACUCUGAGCCUGUUUCUUAUUUAUAAAAUCAAAAUGAUGACAUUGGACUCA